GUUGAGUAACUUGCUGAAGUCCUCACACCUGGCAAGUCUUCGGCUCAGAUCCCAAUGACUUCAGGCCAGAGUUUUUCAAGGACACUCACCAGCCUCUUUGUCCUUGUCAUGUGCUGCUUGAUUGUGUGGUGACAUUUUACCUGCUAAGUUGGGGGGCCAAAUUAGCAUUUUACCUUUCUAUCCGUGGACACCCAACUGGCUACCGUGCUUAGUCCUGAGAUUGUGAGGGUGUUGUAGACUGUUGAGUCAAAUAAGGACUUGACCGCAGGUGACGGGAGCUGGAGCAAACUCAGGACUGUCUGGGACCAUUCAUCAUGCUUGGGUGAGCACAAUUUAAGUCUGGAAAUUUCUGCUCAGCCGGAUUAGAGGACUCUAAAUGGCAGUAUUUAACUGCUGCCCGAGGUCCCUGGAGCUUCUCCCAUGUGACAUUUCCAGAUCUGAGGAAGGAACGUGCCUUUCGCUUGUUCAGGGUCGGCCUUGUCCUGGAGAUGGCUGGACCUUCGGCACGCUCUCCAGGGAGCCAUCAGUCAAAGGGUUGGGGAUGAGUCUUAGAAGCUUCCAGGGCUUCGCUCAGUGUGGAGGCUUAUCUGCAGCCCAUCCAAGCCUCUCAGAAUCCAAGAAGAAUGCCUCCAGAUCCUGGUGCCGACAGCCUCCCCUCCAUCAGAUUAUGCACACGGCCAGAAGGACUUUUUUCUUUUUCUUCGCAUUUCAGUAGAUUCCUUUGAGGAGGUGCGCAGAUCACA